UUUCAUAUAAUUGAGAUGCCAACAGUAGAAUUUUAUCCGUUGUCAUCACUUUAUUUGGUGACCUAGGUGUUUAAAAUGUGGGAACCAAUCAGAAGCCUCGUCAAAUGUUGAAGACUUUUAUGGAGUGGAGUUAAAUGUCAAGGGUUUAAAGAGUUUGGAUGAAAGUUUACAUGACUAUCUUUCUGUUGAAGAGCUUCAAGGGGACAAUCAGUACUUUUGUAAGAACAUUCUUUAUAAUCUUGUAACCAAACAAAUCUCAAUUACCAUAUUGACCUCUUAUAUGCUUUUUCAUAGACUACAACAAAGAAAAAGAUAACCUCUGCAUUUUGUUUCCCUGGACAUGUUGACAUGGGAGAAUUGAUAUAUGAUUUAUCAGCAAUUUUGAUUCACAAGGGUGUAGCUGUAAAUAGUGGCCACUAUGUAGCCCAUAUUAAAGAUCAAGACACAGGGGUAUGGUGGGAAUUUGAUGAUGAAAUUGUCUCGGACAUGGGUCAACACCCUUUUGGUGAUAAACCUCACCCACCUGGACAAUCUUGCCCCUCUGAACCUAAUACUCUGGUAAAUGAAAAAGUGACAACGAAUAUGUGAAUGAGGUGAUCAUCUUUCUGGAGACACUUCUUUCCACUGCACAACAGAUAUUACAUCUUAGAAACAAUUGUUAACUUUUUAGUUGGUUGUGAAAAGGUUCAGUUUGAAUGUUGUGAUGGGGAUUGAUCUAGAUAUAAAAUUAUUGGAAUCAUUUGCUGAAAACCAAGCUUCUCUUGUAUCUGAAGAAGAAGCUACUAAUCGGCUUUGGAUUACAGAAAAGUAGGGAUCAUUUCAGAGAAACUAAAGGAUCCUUCUGAGCGACUGUUUGGAACUUUUGGAUCAAGAGGCUACAAGCAAAAUCCAAAGAAAAAAUCCCUAGACUCUUUAAUUAAGAGGCUCAAGGAUGUCAACUAACACCCUGUGUCUACUCUACUUGCUUCAAGAUUCCCAGAUAUCUUUCUCUUUCCCUUAUUUCAUAUAGUUUACUUUUUUUUGGAACUUUAGCUUUUUUUUAUCAGUUGCUUGAACACACCUGAUUCUUGUUCUGUAUGCAAUGGAGAAAAAUUCCUAGGCUUUUAACACACUUCUCAUUGGAGAAAAAUUCUUGGGUGUUUUGAGUAUUAGGUUUAGUCAAUGGAUAAGAAGAAAAAACAUUGACUCUCCAUGUGAUGUUGAUACUGGGCCAACAACUUCAAUCAGGUGUGAACAUGAUCAACUUAUGCUUGAACAACAUGCCAGGUUUAGGUCAAGGCCUCAGUUUCAAUUCAAACAACAUUUGGUAAAAUGAUCAAAGAAGGUGCACUUCAGAGGCACGAAAAGGAAAUUGAAAAGUCCAAAUUAAAUAAAAAGUCAACUAAACUAGGUUUGGGAAAACGAGAAGCAAAAUAUACAAUUGAAGCUACGUUCUGAGAAAUCUGUCUAUACACUUGACACUCUGAAUUUUCGAAAAUUUUAUACAUACAGAUGAAUUGGAGAGAGAAGCGGAAACGAACUUCUCAGCGAUGAUCAAAUUCUUCGAGAAUUUAACGUGUUAAAGAGAAAAAUCGAGAAAAAUAAACAAAUGAGGAAUGAAGAAAGAAGAAUGUUACCGGGUAGGGAUGAAGACGAUCGAGAAAAAUCGACCGGUUGACGGAGCAGCGGCGAACGAACAAAGCAAAUCAGACGAUGAUGAAGACGAUCGAGAUAAACAGUUUGGGGAAUGAGGAAUGAGAUCGGCGAUCGAAAAUAUGAGUAAAUUACAGUUAUGGUCCCUGUGGUUAUCACUUUGUUAUAAAAUGGAAACCGUUUUUUGUAAAAGAAUGAAAAAUACACCAUUUUUUCUACAUGUUUGAGUUGUUAUCAGAAGCUUGUUAAGUGGUGAUCACUUUUUUCUUGAUUUCCUCUUUUUCCCUGUUGCCUAUAUAAACUCUGGCUUAAUCUUGGAUUCCUUUCGGUUCAUCCACUCAUUUGGUUGACUGUCUCUUGUGGCUUAAUCUGUGUCUAUUCAUUUUGUUUGAUUGUAUUUUUUAAAUCUAUCAUUUUUCCUUUUCUACUUCUCAACUCUCAAACGAAGCAAGAAAAUGGAUCCAAAU
rnacentral:lncRNA from 1 species